AUCCCCGGGGUGUGGCGGAGGCACGCCGCCCUGCGAAGGCGGAGGUCAUGCAGGUUCGACUCCUGCCGGGGAUA
rnacentral:tRNA from 1 species